rnacentral:rRNA from 1 species
AUUGGUUGAUCCUGCCACUAAUCAUUUGCUUGUCUCAAAGAUUAAGCCAUGUAUGUGUAAGUAUGAACUAAUUUAGACUAUGAAAUUGUGAAUGGCUCAUUAAAUCAGUUAUAGUUUGUUUAAUGGUAUCUACUAUUCAGAUAAGUAAUUCUAUAGCUGAAGCAUACAAUAAACCCCUACUUCUGAAAGGGAUGCAUUUAUUAGAUAAAAGGUCGAUGUGAGCUUUGCCCUUUGCUCUAAUGAUUCAUUAUAACUUGACGGAUCGCACGACCUUUAUGCCAGCGACGCAUCAUUCAAAUUUUUACCCUAUCAACUUUUGAUGGUAGGAUAGUGGCCUACUUUGGUGGUGAACAGUGACAGAGAAUUAGGGUUCCAUUUCAGAGAGGGAACUUGAGAAAAGGCUAACACAUCCAAGGAAGGCUGUAGGUAAAAAAUUACCCAAUCUUGACACGAGGAGGUUGUGAUAAUAGAUAACAAUACCGGGCUCUAUGAGUCUAGUAAUUUAAAUGAAUACAAUCUAAAUCCGUUAAUGAAGAUCCAUUUGAAGGUAAUUUUGGUGCCAGCAACCACAGUAAUUCUAGCUUUAAUAGCAUAUAUUUAAGUUUCUUAGUUAAAAAACUCAUAAUUGAAACUAGGGUUAGGUCAUCUGGUCCACCUCAUGGUGAGCACUUGUCUACUUGUCUACUUGUCCUUAUAACCAACGAUGCACUCCUGACCUUAACUAGCUAGGUAAUUCUUCUGACGAUGUUACUGUGAAGAAUUAGAGUGCUCAAAGUAGGCCUAUGUUUAUAUACAUUAGCAUAGGAUAACAUCAUAGGAUUUUGGUGCUAUUGUGUUGGCCUUUGGGAUCAAAGUAAUGAUUAAUAGAGACAGUUAGGGGCAUUUGUAUUUUAUAGUAAGAGGUGAAAUUCUUGGAUUUAUAAAAAAUGAACAACUACGAAAGCAUUUGCCAAAGAUGUUUUCAUUAAUCAAGAAUGAAAGUUAGAGGCUCGAAGUUGAUUAAAUACCAUCAUAGUCUUAACUAUAAAUGAUGCCAACUAGGGAUCAAUGAAUGUUACUUUUAGGACUUUGUCGGCACCUUAUGAAAAAUCAAAGUCUUCGAAUUCUAUGGGGAGUAUAGUUACAAGGCUGAAACUUAAAGAAAUUGAUGGAAAGGCACCACCAAGAGUGGAGCUUAUAGUUUAAUUUGAUUCAACAGAAGGAAACUUAUUAGGUCUAGACAUAGAAAGGAUUGACAUACUAAAAGCUCUUUCUUGAUUCUAUAGGUGGUGGUGCAUGGCCGUUCUUAGUUGGUAGAGCAAUUUGUCUGCUUAAUUCUAUUAACGAAUGAGACCUCAGCCUAUUAACUAACUACAAAGAGAUGAUUUUUUAUGGCUAGCUUCUUAAAGGGACUAUGGCUGCUUAGACUAAGAAAGUUUAAGGUAAUAACAGGUCUAUGAUGCCUUUAGAUGUUUUAGGCUGCACAUGUGCUACACUGAUGUAUUCAAUGAGUUUAUAGCCUUGGCCGAUAGGCUCAGAUAAUUUUUGAAAUUUCAUCAUGAUAGGCAUAGAUCAUUGCAACUGCUGAUCUUCAAUGAGGAAUUCCUAGUAAGUGCGAGUCAUCAGCUCACGUUGACUACAUCCUUGUCUUUUGUAUACAUCGCCUGUCACUCUUACCAAUUGAAUGGUUCGAUGAAGUGUUCAGAUUGUAAUGACAUGGAUAGUUCACUACCUGUGACGUUGAGGGAAGUCCACUAAACCUUAUCAUUUAGAGGAAUGAUAAGUCGUAACAAGGUUUCCAUAGGUGAACUUGUGGAAG